CCGUACGGCCAUACCACCCUGAACGCGCCCGAUCUCGUCUGAUCUCGGAAGCUAAGUAGGGUCGGGCCUGGUUAGUACUUAGAUGGGAGACCGCCUGGGAAUACCGGGUGCUGUAGGCU
rnacentral:rRNA from 1 species